GUUCGACUGGCGGGACACUCAGCAAGGGAACUUUGGUGCGAUUCGCUCUCCAAAAAAGUUACACACUACAGUCAGUGAAUGAAGGAAGGCACUCAUGUGUUCAACUCGAGUCGUUUGAAUUAAUAUUAUUAGAGACUGGGUAGAAACAGAGAGAUUGUGAGAUCCAGCAGAGUUAAUCGAGUGAAAUUUCAUCCUUGUAUCCGAGCGUGAACCGUCCGGUCCAAUAUGGACAAUUGAGACCUUCACUCAAGAUCAUCGGAAGCUGAAGAGUGGCCAUAUGUGUACAGCAUAGUAUGCAUGAAAUGCAAUGGCAUCUGCUAACUGGUUGGUAGCAUCCCUGCAGGACGUGGCCAAACUCAAUAAGUGACGCUGAUCAACUGUCGGCACCCUCUCUGUUCCAGAGAACUACCCUGGCCGGGCCG